GCAGUCGAGCGAACAGAUAAGGAGCUUGCUCCUUUGACGUUAGCGGCGGACGGGUGAGUAACACGUGGAUAACCUACCUAUAAGACUGGGAUAACUUCGGGAAACCGGAGCUAAUACCGGAUAACAUAUUGAACCGCAUGGUUCAAUAGUGAAAGGCGGCUUUGCUGUCACUUAUAGAUGGAUCCGCGCCGUAUUAGCUAGUUGGUAAGGUAACGGCUUACCAAGGCAACGAUACGUAGCCGACCUGAGAGGGUGAUCGGCCACACUGGAACUGAGCACCCCGUCCAGACUCCUACGGGAGGCAGCAGUAUGGAAUCUUCCGCAAUGGGCGAAACCCUGACGGAGCAACGCCGCGUGAGUGAU
rnacentral:rRNA from 1 species